CUGAUAAGCACUUCAGUUCCCCACUUCCUGCCAGACCCUCUUGCUAAUCAUGACUUUGCUUCAUGUUCCAGCCACCAGAAAAUGUCUUGUGUCAAGACAGAAAACCAUGCAGAACAAGAACAUUGCUACCCUCAUGAAUCCAAUAUCCCAGCUGCCUGGAAGUUUCUGAGUAGGGAUGGGGACAAGAAAAGACCCCAACAAGAAAAUAAGAGACCAAACAUGGCUUCUGUCAAGAAGACUUCUUCCAUUCUGACAAGCACCACUCAGAGUUGAUGCAUCUGCUUGGGAACCUCAUGGAACACAUUCCUGGAGAGCUGAACAAACUGGACGAUAGCCCUUACAAAAACUUCUUCUCUGUCUGUUGUUAUUGUGGAUAAAAUGCCAUGCUUCUAUCUUAGAUAAACCCAUUCACUUUUAAACUGGAUCCGAUCUCCACUUAUGCACUCAGCUACAGCAAUUCUCCUCUCUCAUUUAUCUUUACAUUCUCACUUUUUACAUGGUCAUCCCCAACAGCAAAUAUGUUGUUAUUUCAUCUAGCUUAACAAAACAACAACGAACAACAACAAAACAUCCCCGUUAACUGCAACUCCCCUCCAUCUAUUCCACAUUUACCUGUCACAUGUGUGCUGCAUCUUUCAUAGAAUUUUCCUCAGCCAACAAAGCCAGCCCUUCUUCUCAGGAGCAGAUCACAGCCAAUGACUGCCUGGCACAUAGGUACAAAAAUUCUGGUCCACUGCCUUGAGGUAAAGCUAACUUAGGAGUGCAAACUGUUUUCCAGAGCUUCCCUACAAGAUGGAACUGAAACUAGUUGUCAGUUGAGACUCUACUCCUGCUUGGCAUUUUUUCUGCCCUAUAUUUCUUCCCAUACUUCACCUUUUCUGGAAAGUAUUUCCCCAAUAAAUUAUCUGGUUCUAGGGGACCCA
rnacentral:lncRNA from 12 species